CCUACGGGAGGCAGCAGUGAGGAAUAUUGGUCAAUGGACGAGAGUCUGAACCAGCCAAGUAGCGUGAAGGAUGACUGCCCUAUGGGUUGUAAACUUCUUUUAUAUGGGAAUAAAAUGUUCCACGUGUGGGAUUUUGUAUGUACCAUAUGAAUAAGGAUCGGCUAACUCCGUGCCAGCAGCCGCGGUAAUACGGAGGAUCCGAGCGUUAUCCGGAUUUAUUGGGUUUAAAGGGAGCGUAGGUGGAUUGUUAAGUCAGUUGUGAAAGGUUGCGGCUCAAACGUAAAAUUGCAGUUGAAACUGGCAGUCUUGAGUACAGUAGAGGUGGGCGGAAUUCGUGGUGUAGCGGUGAAAUGCUUAGAUAUCACGAAGAACUCCGAUUGCGAAGGCAGCUCACUGGACUGCAACUGACACUGAGGCUCGAAAGUGUGGGUAUCAAACAGGAUUAGAUACCCCAGUAGUC
rnacentral:rRNA from 1 species